AGAUUUGAUGUAGGUAAUCCAUCCGGAGUUUCUGGGUGAGGAGCCGACUGUCUACGGAGGUGAACUUUGGGACAAAGAUCCAACUACAUAUGAGGAUGAUUGUGCUAUUAAAGCACGCUGAGGAUGAGAGGAGGCAGACUUAAUCUUGAGAGAUCUGUAUGUCGCAAUGCAGAGAAAUUUUAGUUUCAAGCUUAGGUUUCCCUGCUCCUAAAUAUCAUUAUCAACUCUCUCUAUGGCAAUAGAGAAAUUUUCUUGAGGGAGCUAUUCUCCAAUGCUUUUGUUGUGUUGUAUGAAAUCAACUUCCUUUCCCUCGCAAAUAAGGAGAUUUCUCAAGGUCACCUCCCCUUGUCUCGUGGGAAGAGAUAUUGUUCCAACUCUUUCUGAAUUUCAAGUUUAUUUGGGAGUCAAAAGUUGAUGGUUGUUUGCAGUCUAUGAAGAUGUAUAUGGUAAGCUACUAGGACGUGGAACUGAUAUCAGAUUGCAUCUUGAAGAGGAAGCCCAAUAUGUUUUAGAGGACAUACUAAAAGUGACUCCUUUUUUGUUUAUUUGUCUUGCUUCGUAAACUGACAUCAUUGGUUACAAUCAAGUCCUUCCACAUUGUUGAUGGAUGAUUGAUAUUAUUCCAACUUGUUAGUUCCAACUCAAUCUAUUCUUGAACAAUU